CUUUGAAAAGCUGAUUGUGUUUUAAUAAUUGCAUUACUUGCAAACCAACAAACUUUCUAACAAAGUCUCUCAUACAUGUUUUUCAAAUGAACACCAUCUUAAACUGUAUUUUCCCUGAUGAU